GACGAACGCUGGCGGCGUGCUUAACACAUGCAAGUCGAACGGAAAGGCCCUGCUUGCAGGGUACUCGAGUGGCGAACGGGUGAGUGACACGUGGGUGAUCUGCCCUGCACUUCGGGAUAAGCCUGGGAAACUGGGUCUAAUACCGGAUAGGAGCCAUUUUUAGUGUGAUGGUUGGAAAGUUUUUUCGGUGUAGGAUGAGCUCGCGGCCUAUCAGCUUGUUGGUGGGGUAAUGGCCUACCAAGGCGGCGACGGGUAGCCGGCCUGAGAGGGUGGACGGCCACAUUGGGACUGAGAUACGGCCCAGACUCCUACGGGAGGCAGCAGUGGGGAAUAUUGCACAAGGGGCGCAAGCCUGAUGCAGCGACGCCGCGUGGGGGAUGACGGCCUUCGGGUUGGAAACUCCUUUCGCUAGGGACGAAGCUUUUUGUGACGGUACCUAGAUAAGAAGCACCGGCUAACUACGUG
rnacentral:rRNA from 1 species